ensembl:lncRNA
GCGGGAGUGGCUGGCGCUGCCCUUUUUCUUCCCUCGGCCCCACCCCUCCGCGGCUCUGCGUCUUCCUGCUCCUCUGCCCCGCGCCCCGCGUAACCCGCCGCCGCCGGGACCCGGCCGAGUGCCCGCAGGGUCUGACCGAGGAGGCCUGGGGAGGUGGGGGACCCCACCUGGCCUCUGGGAGACCCGCGCGCGGAGGGAUCAGAGCACUCCGGCGGCCCGCAGUCCUGCCCAGCCCUCCUCUGUAUUGGGCUAGCACAGGGUGGCGCCACGCAGUGUUAACCAGUUGUCCGCACACGUCCUACAUUUCGUAGGGAGUUAUCACGUUCCCAGCUCUUGAGGAAUUAGAAUGCGAGUAUAUGGCAAGGCCCUUCUGCUUUGCGGUUUCUGCCUUGGAGCCAGAUGACCAUGGACUGAGCCCUCUGGAACAGUGAGGAUGAGCCAGCACUUCCUUCCAGAGACUACACAGUGUUCCAGAGAGCUGAGCACAGGAGCCUGGCUUUGUACACAGAAAAUGACUGAAGAAAGCAAAAUCGAAAAGUAGAUUGGUCACUUCCAUUUCUUUCCUUGUGGGGUCGGGACAGAAUAAUAGAAAAAUAACUGAUUGGUUAACAUCAAGUUACUUCAGGUAAUUUUUCCGGGUAAAUUUAAGAUUAGAGGAAACAUCAGUAUCAUGACAAUUAAAACUGAUCUGUCUGGGAAAUUCAGUUGUUCUCCAUAUAAUCCUGAUUUCUAUGACAGCCACACACACAGUUUUUAGAUUCUGCUUGGUGAAACAGCUUAGUUUAGCAUGAAUGAUUCCAUUUUGAUUUUUAGUGUGGUAUCUUGGGGCCCAGUCUAAAGUAAUGAUCUCCUGUAAUUUUUAUUUAGCAACAUCCAGACAUGGAGUUUUUGGAUCAUAGAGUGUACAUAAAGUGCACACACCUGUAAUCCCAGCAUUCAGGAGGCAGAGGCAGGAGGAUCACUGUGAGUUCGAGGCCAGCCUGGGCUACAUAGUGAGAUCUUGUCUCAAAAUACCAAAAUAAAAAGUUUUAGUUAGGUAUUUUCCCACCAGCUGUGAGAGCUGCCCUUACUCCAUAUCCUUCCAAAAAUUUGGGUUAGAUUUUUAAAAUUUUGUCAGUUGAAUGAGUGGAAGUGGUAUAAAUAUAUUUUAACUCUUCAUAAUGAAAAAUUCCAAGUAUUUAUACAGUAGUGAGACUAAUAUAAUGAAUUUCUAUGUCUCUGUCAUCUAAUUCAAUAAUU